rnacentral:rRNA from 1 species
GACGAACGCUGGCGGCGUGCUUAACACAUGCAAGUCGAACGGAAAGGCCCCUUUGGGUGUACUCGAGUGGCGCACGGGUGAGUAACACGUGAGUAACCUGCCCUUGACUUCGGGAUAACUUCAGGAAACUGGGGCUAAUACCGGAUAGGAAUCCUUGCUGCAUGGUGGGGGUUGGAAAGCUUCGGCGGUUUUGGAUGGACUCGCGGCUUAUCAGCUUGUUGGUGGGGUAGUGGCUUACCAAGGUUUUGACGGGUAGCCGGCCUGAGAGGGCGACCGGCCACAUUGGGACUGAGAUACGGCCCAGACUCCUACGGGAGGCAGCAGUGGGGAAUAUUGCACAAUGGGCGGAAGCCUGAUGCAGCAACGCCGCGUGCGGGAUGACGGCCUUCGGGUUGUAAACCGCUUUCAGCAGGGGCGAAGCUUGUGGUGACGGUACCUGCAGAAGAAGCACCGGCUAACUACGUG